UCAGUAACACGUGGGCAACCUGCCUUAUAGAGGGGAAUAGCCUUCCGAAAGGAAGAUUAAUACCGCAUAACAUUACAUUUUCGCAUGAAGAAGUAAUUAAAGGAGUAAUCCGCUAUAAGAUGGGCCCGCGGCGCAUUAGCUAGUUGGUGAGGUAACGGCUCACCAAGGCGACGAUGCGUAGCCGACCUGAGAGGGUGAUCGGCCACAUUGGGACUGAGACACGGCCCGGACUCCUACGGGAGGCAGCAGUGGGGAAUAUUGCACAAUGGGGGAAACCCUGAUGCAGCAACGCCGCGUGAGUGAUGAAGGUCUUCGGAUCGUAAAGCUCUGUCUUCAGGGACGAUAAUGACGGUACCUGAGGAGGAAGCCACGGCUAACUACGUGCCAGCAGCCACGGUAAUACGUAUGUGGCGAGCGUUGUCCGGAUUUACUGGGCGUAAAGGGAGCGUA
rnacentral:rRNA from 1 species